AUGCACGCUGGCGGCGUGCCUAAUACAUGCAAGUAGAACGCUGAAGCUUGGUGCUUGCCCCGAGCGGAUGAGUUGCGAACGGGUGAGUAACGCGUAGGUAACCUGCCUCUUAGCGGGGGAUAACUAUUGGAAACGAUAGCUAAUACCGCAUAAAAGUCGAUAUCGCAUGAUAUUGAUUUGAAAGGUGCAAAUGCAUCACUAAGAGAUGGACCUGCGUUGUAUUAGCUAGUUGGUGAGGUAACGGCUCACCAAGGCGACGAUACAUAGCCGACCUGAGAGGGGGAUCGGCCACACUGGGACUGAGACACGGCCCAGACUCCUACGGGAGGCAGCAGUAGGGAAUCUUCGGCAAUGGGGGCAACCCUGACCGAGCAACGCCGCGUGAGUGAAGAAGGGUUUCGGAUCGUAAAGCUCUGUUGUAAGAGAAGAACGAGUGUGAGAGUGGAAAGUUCACACUGUGACGGUAACUUACCAGAAAGGGACGGCUAACUACGUG
rnacentral:rRNA from 1 species